GAUGAACGCUGGCGGCGUGCCUAAUACAUGCAAGUCGAGCGAACGGACGAGAAUCGUGCUUCUCUGAUGUUAGCGGCGGAAGGAAGAGGAACACGUGGAUAACCUACCUAUAAGACUGGGAUAACUUCGGGAAACCAGAGCUGAAACGGGAUGAUUUUUGCAACCGCAUGGUUCAAAAGUUAAAGACGGUCUUGCUGUCACUGAUAGAUGUAUCCGCGCUGCAUUAGCUAGUUGGUAAGGUAACGGCCUACCGAGGCAACGAUGCAUAGCCGACCUGAGAGGGGGAUAGGCCACCCUGGAACGGAGCCACGGUCCAGACUACUACGGGAGGCAGCAGUAGGCAAUCUUCGGCAAUGGGCGAAAGCCUGACGGAACAGCGCCGCGUGAGUGAUGACGGUCUUCGGAUCGUAAAACUGUGUUAUUAGUGAAGAACAUAUGUGUACGUAACUGUGCACAGCGUGGACGUAACUAAUAAGAAAACCACCGCUAAAUACGUU
rnacentral:rRNA from 1 species